GUUCAAUUUGAUUGACGGACGUAGCUCCAGUAUACUCCUGAACACUACUGGACAGACCAGUGUUCUGUGGCUGCAGUGCCGAGUCCGCUGACGGUGUCUCUGCUUAUCGGCGGCGUCAUGCCCGUGUAGGGUCGGACAGCCGAGAUCCACCAACCACUGGAACACAUCUCCAAAGUUCUGCCGGGCCAGCUCAGCUUCCCCUCAGAAGAAGUGCCGCCACCUGCCAGAUGAAGGAGCCUUUUGAGAGGCAGCUGGCAUCGUGAUUGGACUGUACUUUGGUCUGUUCCAAUCCAGCUUCAGCUCCAGAGACGGCAGGCGGGACGAGUCAACGGAGGCCGGGUGGACGAAGGCAUGCAGCUGAGUACAAUCCAGAAAACAACAGAGGAGGAGUGAAGCGGCCCAGAGCCAGAACAAACAGAACCAAAGAACUACAGACUCUUCACAACCUGCUCAAACUCUUGGUACAGGACCUCACCACACGAGUCAAGAAGGUUUCCUUCUCAUUUCUACUCUGAAGCUCACCUUCUCCUGCUCAAACUGCUGACAAAUGUUUCUGCUGCUCUAAAGUCUGCUCUCCAGAACUUCCUAAAAACUCUCAAAGUCUCUUCUGCUGCAGGUUGCUUUGUAGAACUGUUGCAGAAAACCUCACUAAACCACAUGGAGGGGCCUCAAGAUAGUCGUCCUAAUGAAACCAUACAAAAACCAAACUAGUACAACCCAAACACUAAAGUCUCCUGCAGGCUAUCAGAGAACCUCUGAGAACAGAGAAUCAGGACAGGAACUCUUACCUUCCGGACAACCAACGCUGGUCCACAAACAAGAAUACAGAAUGUGUCUGACCAAAAACCUCUGAAGACUCACUACAGCCAAGAUAAAGACACAACUCAGCUGCACCAAAUCCACUAAUCACUGCACACAUUAGCACCAUGUGCUAACUGUGGCUAAAGAACCACUUUACCAAGACAACUAUCCGGUACAAAGCCCUAAAACACACCAAGAAACACAUUAAAGACAAUUUUACUGCUGGAAGCUGCAAGCCAACGCCUAAAGAACAAACUAAAGCAAUGGAGCCAAACCCGGUUCAAUUGCGAAGAGAAGCGGAGGAAAUGUUUGUCUGCAGCUAAAUAAAGCAGGAAGACACUGAGCUGCUCAGGUGUUCCUGAUAACACUGACCUGCUCAGGUGUUCCUGAUAACACCAAGCAGCCACCUGGACAGCCAAUAGGAACACAGCUUACUGGAAGUCCAGAGGGCUGGGUUAGUCAAGGAAAUUUAAUUUAAAGUUGAAGCAGAAAGUUAACAAAGAAAGUUGAAAACCACCAUCUGAUCCCUGAAAUCUCUGAGUUUCCACACAAAGAACACCUGAACAUGUCAAACUAGUUCCAUAGUAGAACCAUCAUUGUAAAAACGUCAUAGUAUGGUGUGUUGCUCAAAAAACAUUAGGACCCGGCUGUCUGGGGUCGCCGAGGAGCAACACAAAAACAGGACAAACGCUGGUUUCCAGGGGGUUAGGAGGAUAUUUAUUUGAAAGAGUAAGUUUACAACAACACAACAUGUGAGCAGAAACAUCACAAAGUCUGUCUUUACUUCAGCUGAAAAUAUUAGUUUUUGUCUUUUUUAUUGACCAAACUUUUCAGGAAGUAGAUGAAGAAUAAUUAAAGCUCUCAUGUAGAUCCUUGUGGAGAGUUUAAUCUUAGAGUUUGUAAAGCUGUUGAGUUUAGAGUCACAUGGAUUGUUUUGACAUUUAAUAACCGAGUCCUGAAAUAAAAUUACAGUUGUGGACUUCUGUCAUUUAGUCUGGACUAAACAAAUAACAGCAGCAUAAAUCUCAAACGUCAUUAUGAGGAGUCUGGAUUGAGGUUUCUCACUUGAUAAUGAUCAAAACAUGAAAUUUAGGUUGGUUUAAACUUUAAAGGAAUAUUCCAUCUUAAAUCUUUGAAUGUUGACCUAAAAGGUUGGUUUCAGGAAGUUUUCCAUCUACAAGGUCCUCAAACAUCCACCUUAAAGGAACAUUCAACCAAAAAUCCUUGGACAUGCACCUAAAAUGUUGGUUUAACCGAGUAUUCCAUCCAAAAUCCUCAAAUAUAGACCCGAAAGGGUGGUUUAGAAAAAAUCCUUCAAUGUAGACCUAAAAGGUGAGUUUAAUGGUAUAUUCCACCUAAAAUUCAGUACUGUAGACCUUGGAGGUUGGUCUGAUGGUAUACUCCAUCCAACAUCUUUGAACAUAAAUUUAAAAAGUUCAAAGGAAUAUUCCACCUGAAAUCCUUCAAUGUAGACCAAAAAAAUCUUGGUGUAAAGGAGUAUUCCACCUUAAAUAUAGACCUAAAGGAUGGUUUGGAGUAAUAUUCUACUCUAAAAUCUUCCAAUGUAGACCUAAAAGGUUGAUCUGAUGGUAUAUUCUACCCAACAUCCUGGAACAUUUACCUAAAAGGUUGGUUUAAUGGUAUAUUCCCAGAAGAACCCUUGAACAUUGGGCUUAAUGGUAUAUUCCACCCAAAAUACUUGUACAUAUACCAAGAAGUGUAAAGGAAAUGCAGACCUAAAAGGAUUGUUUAAAGGAAUACUUAAACUGUUAUUUUUAUUAUUUAAUAAUCUGUCAUCAGUCAGAACCCUGGCAAACUUAUUUUCAUCAGUUUUUUUAGUGGAAGUCACAAAUAAAGGAGCUCUUGGUUUUUACCAGCGUUAGUGAGUCCAAAGCUACUGUUUCAACACAGAAUGUUCACAUGCAUCCACAAACCUCUCAGCACUCAAACACCCACAGACAGGAGGCUGGCUGGGCCGAGGCUCGGCGGCAUCCUCAGACCCACGAGUCGGGGAGUCGGUGAACUUGUUGGUCCGGUUUGAAGGCCUCCGUGUGGUCCAGUAGAAGUCCACGUAGUCGGUGUUGGCUUUGAACGGCAGCGACUGGCCUCCAUCAGGUGGACCAGCUCGUCCUCGUAGGGCUCCUCCUGUAGCCUUGAGGGAACCACAGGAACAUUCAGUAGCUGUUGGAGUUCUUCCUGUCAGGCUCGUGGUAGAACGGCUCUGAAGAAUCUUGUACUUGUCUUAUCUGGAACAAUCUAACAGCCUAAACUGUUAACAGUGGUGUAAAGAAGCAAACAAACAGACAUAGAUUAGGAC